rnacentral:tRNA from 1 species
GGCUGUUUGGUGUGUGGGUGUAGUAAUUUUAUUACUUUUAAAGCGCGGUCUUGAUAAGGCCGAGAGUACUGGUUCGAGUCCUGUAGUAGUGA